rnacentral:rRNA from 2 species
UCGGGUUGUAAACCGCUUUUGUUCAAGGGCAAGGCACGGUUUCGGCCGUGUUGAGUGGAUUGUUCGAAUAAGCACCGGCUAACUACGUGCCAGCAGCCGCGGUAAUACGUAGGGUGCGAGCGUUAUCCGGAUUUAUUGGGCGUAAAGGGCUCGUAGGCGGUUCGUCGCGUCCGGAGUGAAAGUCCAUCUCCUAACGGUGGAUCUGCGCCGGGUACUGGCGAGCUGGAGUGCGGUAGGGGAGACUGGAAUUCCCGGUGUAACGGUGGAAUGUGUAGAUAUCGGGAAGAACACCAAUGGCGAAGGCAGGUCUCUGGCCCGUCACUGACGCUGAGGAGCGAAAGCGUGGGGAGCGAACAGGAUUAGAUACCCUGGUAGUCCACACCGUAAACGGUGGAUGCUGGAUGUGGGGCCCUUUCCACGGGUCCCGUGUCGGAGCCAACGCG